AAGGAGCCUAAAGAGAUGUUUUUCUAUGGUCUGUUGGCCAUUUCAGAACUUGGGCAUUGAAAUGGUCAAUUCAUUAGAAAGAAAUAGCU
ensembl:snoRNA